rnacentral:rRNA from 1 species
AUUGAACGCUGGCGGCAGGCCUAACACAUGCAAGUCGAACGAGUGGCGGACGGGUGAGUAAUGUCUGGGAAACUGCCCGAGGGAGGGGGAUAACUACUGGAAACUGUAGCUAAUACCGCAUACCAUCGGAUGUCCCCAGAUGGGAUUAGCUAGUAGGUGGGGUAACGGCUCACCUUGGCGACGAUCCCUAGCUGGUCUGAGAGGAUUACCAGCCACACUGGAACUGAGACACGGUCCAGACUCCUACGGGAGGCAGCAGUGGGGAAUAUUGCACCAUGGGCGCAAGCCUGAUGCAGCCAUGCCGCGUGUAUGAAGAAGGCCUUCGGGUUGUAAAGUACUUUCAGCGAGGAGGCGUUACUCGCAGAAGAAGCACCGGCUAACUCCGUGCCAGCAGCCGCGGUAAUUC